AGAACGCUGGCGGCAGGCCUAACACAUGCAAGCGAGCGGAUGACGGGAGCUUGCUCCUUGUUUCAGCGGCGGACGGGUGAGUAAUGCCUAGGAAUCUGCCUGGUAGUGGGGGACAACGUUUCGAAAGGAACGCUAAUACCGCAUACGUCCUACGGGAGAAAGCAGGGGACCUUCGGGCCUUGCGCUAUCAGAUGAGCCUAGGUCGGAUUAGCUAGUUGGUGGGGUAAUGGCUCACCAAGGCGACGAUCCGUAACUGGUCUGAGAGGAUGAUCAGUCACACUGGAACUGAGACACGGUCCAGACUCCUACGGGAGGCAGCAGUGGGGAAUAUUGGACAAUGGGCGAAAGCCUGAUCCAGCCAUGCCGCGUGUGUGAAGAAGGUCUUCGGAUUGUAAAGCACUUUAAGUUGGGAGGAAGGGCAGUAAGCUAAUACCUUGCUGUUUUGACGUUACCGACAGAAUAAGCACCGGCUAACUCUGUGCCAGCAGCCGCGGUAAUACAGAGGGUGCAAGCGUUAAUCGGAAUUACUGGGCGUAAAGCGCGCGUAGGUGGUUCGUUAAGUUGGAUGUGAAAGCCCCGGGCUCAACCUGGGAACUGCAUCCAAAACUGGCGAGCUAGAGUACGGUAGAGGGUGGUGGAAUUUCCUGUGUAGCGGUGAAAUGCGUAGAUAUAGGAAGGAACACCAGUGGCGAGGGCGACCACCU
rnacentral:rRNA from 1 species